UGUGUAGGCGGUUGCUUAAGUUUGGUGUGAAAUCUCCCGGCUCAACUGGGAGGGUGCGCCGAAUACUGAGUGACUAGAGUGCGGGAGAGGAAAGUGGAACUCCUGGUGUAGCGGUGAAAUGCGUAGAUAUCAGGAGGAACACCGGUGGUGUAGACGGCUUUCUGGACCGUAACUGACGCUGAGACACGAAAGCGUGGGUAGCAAACAGGAUUAGAUACCCUGGUAGUCCACGCCCUAAACGAUGCAUAUUUGGUGUGGGCAGUUCAUUCUGUCCGUGCCGGAGCUAACGCGUUAAAUAUGCCGCCUGGGGAGUACAGUCGCAAGGCUGAA
rnacentral:rRNA from 1 species